UUUAGAGAAUUGACAUAUUUCACACUGAAAUUAAAGAAGAUUCUUAUUCUUGAACAACAAAGAGAAUAAUUUUUUUAGAUACAAGAAAUUUGGGUAUCUUAGUUGAUAAUGUCACAAAAUGAUAUCAUAGUCAUUAUUUAAAUGACUUAUAGAAACAAAGUUUGUAUAUAUCAUUGUGAGUUUGUCUCCUAGAGGUGUCGGCUUGAAGAAGGUACUGCCCC
rnacentral:lncRNA from 1 species